rnacentral:rRNA from 1 species
CACGGGGGGAGCAAGCGUUGUUCGGAUUCAUUGGGCGUAAAGGGCUCGUAGGUGGCUUUGUAAGUCGGAGGUGAAAUCCCACGGCUCAACCGUGGACACGCCUUCGAAACUGUGAAGCUUGAGGCUGGGAGAGGAGAUCGGAAUUCCUGGUGUAGCGGUGAAAUGCGUAGAUAUCUGGAGGAACACCGGUGGCGAAGGCGGCAUCCUGGACCGACACUGACGCUGAGGCGCGAAAGCUAGGGUAGCAAACGGG